rnacentral:rRNA from 1 species
UGAGGAAUAUUGGACAAUGGGCGCAAGCCUGAUCCAGCCAUGCCGCGUGCAGGAUGACGGUCCUAUGGAUUGUAACUGCUUUUAUACAGGAAGAAACCCUCCCACGUGUGGGAGCUUGACGGUACUGUAGGAAUAAGGAUCGGCUAACUCCGUGC